GGCUGGUCCGAAGGUAGUGAGUUAUCUCAGUUGAUCACAGUCAGUUACAGCUUGAACUCCUGUUCUACUGCUUUCCCCUUCUCACUACUGCACUUGGUCAGUCUAAA
rnacentral:Y_RNA from 1 species